CUGCCGAGGGAGGGAGUUAGGACAUGGCUCCCUCCCAGGACUGCAGCCGCGGAGGGGAGGCAGCUCGCUGGCAGCUGACUGGCCCCUGCACCGGCCCCAGGGAUCUGGAUAGGGUUUUAGGUCCUGCUCUGCAACACACUUGUGAUCACCCUGGACCAGGCCUUUUCCUCUCCGGACCCAGAAUUUCAGGCUUCUGGAUUUCAUACCCAGGAUCUAGAAGAACUACUGUGAGAUUCAGGAGAACUUUGGGAUUUGGGAAAAUCUGAGCUACUAACUUGCUGUGUGACUUUAGGGGAAUCUUUUCACCUCUCUGGGCUUUGUAUUUUCUCCUUGUAAAGAAGAGUGGAUGCCUCCUUCUAUAUGAAGAUCAAGGGGGUUGGGUGGGCCCAGAAGCAGCUAAGCAAGAGCACUGGAAAGUUUUCUGUUGCAGGAAGCUGGCCUUGUCACUGCCUCUCUCCAGCUCUGACACCAGGACUGGGCCUUCCCAAACUGGCCACUAGGUGACCCGUGGUCCUCAGCAAAGCCGUGAGUGGGGUUCGGUCUGUGCCAGCACUCCCGCUUUACCUCUCCAGAAGCUUUUGGAGUUCCCAGGUGGACAUGGGGUCUGCUGGACAAGUCCCAGGACCUCAGGAAAAGAAACCAAAGUGAAACUGAAGAAACCUCAGAACUCAAGAUAAAUGUACCUUCAGUUCAAGACCUAUUAACUGCUAAAAGAAGCAUAAGGAUUAAGAAAUAAA